CGAGAAUUAUAUGGACGGAC
rnacentral:miRNA from 1 species